AUCGGGAUGCUUCAGAAAGAAAAUGGCGAUGAUACCGCGAAUAAAAUAGCCUGGCAGACAUAAAUAUCAAGAGGGAAGAAAAGAGGAUAGGAUAAAAACUAGAGACGAGCAGUGCUAGAUACCAUAAGGACAGCUGGAGAUGCGAAACACCAUAAAAGCAAGCGAACGCAACGGACUGACUGCCCUGGACAGGAGCAAGACGAGGUGAAUGCACCAGCGUCCUUUCCGAGUCCUUUUAUAUAGCCGAUCCACACACCCUGUCCUACCGUGUAUCAUUACUUUCCAUUCCCCCGGUUAUCGAUUACACAAGUUACGAAGGCGACUCGCAUCAUUUUUACAUUAUUCGUACCCUUUAACCGCAUCUGGAGGUCGUGUCGCAUCUAUAAAAUGUACUGUAAAGAACUGGAGCAAGGUUAAGAAAAAGAUUAUGGGUCCAAGUGGCCAAUAUUUGCGAUAGAUUGAAUCUACGUAAAUCUCGCAUGCAUUUUAUAAAACAAAAGGAUCACAUCUAUUAAUUUACAAAAUAAUUCAAUGGCAAAUAGUCCAGCCAAGAAUUGUUAAACUAUCCUACAUCUACUACUAACGAGUGGAACGUGCAGAAUAAUGAGAAUUAACGCUAGAAUUACCAGGAUAGUGAAAAUGACUAAUCCACGACUUUUCAUAAAGACGUUAUACAGGGUAUUUUAUGAGCUUUGGAAAUUAUUUUGAAUUAUUAUCUGUAAAUUGCAUCGCUUCGUUAGGGAAGCGAGCAAAACACAUUUCUCUUUCCCCUUUCCAACUCCGUACAGUAUUCUCGAUUUCGUAACCAUUUUCUCAACUUAUAGCAAAUGCCAUUGAUGCAAAUUUCGAAUUGGACGACAAGGAGAGAACAUCGAUUUCGUGAUACGAUCUUGUUUGAAGCAAUGCUUCCUGCUCGUGAUGGUAGCGCAGGUUGGUAUCAUUCAAUUGAUAACAUCGAAGUACUUCGGUAAUGCGUGGAACAAGAUUGCGACACGUCUCGAACAAUGUGAGCCUCUUUCAACACGUCAGCCAACGUACAUCCUUGAGUGUCCGGAAUUGCAUUUACAUAUUUUAUACGUUUUAUCUUGUACCUACUCGAAACACCUUCGUUCCGUGUAAUGCUGUCAGUAUCAAAGGAGACGUUGCUUCUCGUGUCGUGCACUGUUGUACUUAUGACUUUUAUUAUAAUAUAAUUUCUGUGUACCUGCGUAUUUACUUCACUUUUAUACAUAUGCCGUUUCUACUUACGAAAAAUAAGGAAAUAAAGAAAUUAAGGACUACACAACCUGACAAAUAAAUAAAAAUUAAAUAAUAAAACGCGAAAACGUACAUACACGUGUUUGCGAAGUUAAUAAAUUGUACGAUAUCAAAAUAUUGACUUCUCUUUAACGAUUUACAAGUUGAAUAUCAUCAAUGUCGAUACAUCCACGUGUAUUAUGCAGAAUCGUAAACGACUCGCACCUAGAGAAGAAGCUGCAAUUGUAGAAGAAGGAGUAAUAGACCGGUAAUUUCGUCCAGGAAACAAAAGGCGGCGCACAGAGCUCUAAACGAAGUCAGAAGGGUGCGCAAGAAGCUGAGCACGAGGUUGCCUCUACUUGGACCGAGUACACGAAUAGUGGCACGGCUGGAUUAAACGAGCAAAUUACGGGUUUACGGUGGACCAGGAGGCCUGGUCCGGUGAAAAUAAAUAAAACAGAAGACGCGGCAUUCCGGUGAAUUCCACGGGUACGCGGACGUGCCCCGAGGACAACGCGGCGAAUUGCGCGAGAUUACUCUCGAAUCAGAGCGGUUCUCGGUUGGCAACGGUGGCGAACCUCGAAGACGAUGUAGAGUGUAGAUACUCGGUGAAAAGCAACGCAC